GGGCCGGUAGUUCAGCUGGUAUGAACGUCCGGCUUGCACCCGGAAGGUCGGGGGUUCAAGUCCCCCCCGGUCCACCA
rnacentral:tRNA from 2 species